rnacentral:piRNA from 1 species
UGGAUAUCUUGGCGGAAACACAGC